rnacentral:rRNA from 1 species
UACAGAGGGUGCGAGCGUUUAAUCGGAAUUACUGGGCGUAAAGGGUGCGUAGGUGGUUUUAUAAGUUAGGUGUGAAAUUCCUGGCUUAACCUGGGGACUGCGCCUAAUACUGUAGAGCUAGAGUACUGUAGAGGGAAGUGGAAUUUCCGGUGUAGCAGUGAAAUGCGUAGAUAUCGGAAGGAACACCAGUGGCGAAGGCGACUUCCUGGACAGAUACUGACACUGAGGCACGAAAAGCGUGGGGGAGCAAACAGGAUU